GGGGGCAUGGUGGAACGGUAGACACAGCGGACUUAAAAUCCGCAAGCCGCAAGGCUGUGGGGGUUCAAGUCCCCCUGCCCCCA
rnacentral:tRNA from 1 species